rnacentral:rRNA from 1 species
AUUGAACGCUGGCGGCAGGCCUAACACAUGCAAGUCGAGCGGAGCGGCGGACGGGUGAGUAAUGCCUAGGAAUCUGCCUGGUAGUGGGGGAUAACGUCCGGAAACGGGCGCUAAUACCGCAUAAUAUCAGAUGAGCCUAGGUCGGUUUAGCUAGUUGGUGGGGUAAAGGCCCACCAAGGCGACGCUCCGUAACUGGUCUGAGAGGAUGAUAAGUCACACGGGAACUGAGACACGGUCUAGACUCCUACGGUAGGAAGCAGGGGGGAAUAUUGGACAAUGGUCGAAAGCCUGAUCCAGCCAUGCCGCGUGUGUGCAGAAGGUCUUCGGAUUGUAAAGCACUUUAAGUUGGGAGGCGUUACCAACAGAAUAAGCACCGGCUAACUACGUGCCAGCAGCCGCGGUAAUAC